CCUACGGGUGGCUGCAGUGAGGAAUAUUGGUCAAUGGACGAGAGUCUGAACCAGCCAAGUAGCGUGAAGGAUGACUGCCCUAUGGGUUGUAAACUUCUUUUAUAUUGGAAUAAAAUGUUCCACGUGUGGGAUUUUGUAUGUACCAUAUGAAUAAGGAUCGGCUAACUCCGUGCCAGCAGCCGCGGUAAUACGGAGGAUCCGAGCGUUAUCCGGAUUUAUUGGGUUUAAAGGGUGCGUAGGUGGAUGUUUAAGUCAGUUGUGAAAGUUUGUGGCUCAACCGUAGAAUUGCAGUUGAAACUGGAAGGCUUGAGUACAGUAGAGGUGGGCGGAAUGCGUGGUGUAGCGGUGAAAUGCUUAGAUAUCACGAAGAACUCCGAUUGCGAAGGCAGCUUACUGGACUGCAACUGACACUGAGGCUCGAAAGUGUGGGUAUCAAACAGGAUUAGAUACCCGGGUAGUC
rnacentral:rRNA from 1 species